UACGUAGGGUGCGAGCGUUGUCCGGAAUUAUUGGGCGUAAAGAGCUCGUAGGCGGUUUGUCGCGUCUGCUGUGAAAACUCGGGGCUUAACUCCGGGCCUGCAGUGGGUACGGGCAGACUAGAGUGCGGUAGGGGGAGACUGGAAUUCCUGGUGUAGCGGUGGAAUGCGCAGAUAUCAGGAGGAACACCGAUGGCGAAGGCAGGUCUCUGGGCCGCAACUGACGCUGAGGAGCGAAAGCAUGGGGAGCGAACAGG
rnacentral:rRNA from 1 species